rnacentral:rRNA from 1 species
AGUGAACGCUGGCGGUAGGCCUAACACAUGCAAGUCGAACGGCAGCACAGUAAGAGCUUGCUCUUACGGGUGGCGAGUGGCGGACGGGUGAGGAAUACAUCGGAAUCUACUUUUUCGUGGGGGAUAACGUAGGGAAACUUACGCUAAUACCGCAUACGACCUACGGGUGAAAGCAGGGGAUCUUCGGACCUUGCGCGAUUGAAUGAGCCGAUGUCGGAUUAGCUAGUUGGCGGGGUAAAGGCCCACCAAGGCGACGAUCCGUAGCUGGUCUGAGAGGAUGAUCAGCCACACUGGAACUGAGACACGGUACAGACUCCUACGGGAGGCAGCAGUGGGGAAUAUUGGACAAUGGGCGCAGGCCUGAUCCAGCCAUACCGCGUGGGUGAAGAAGGCCUUCGGGUUGUAAAGCCCUUUUGUUGGGAAAGAAAAGCAGCAGGUUAAUACCCCGCUGUUCUGACGGUACCCAAAGAAUAAGCACCGGCUAACUUCGUG